rnacentral:rRNA from 1 species
UACGAAGGGUGCAAACGUUGCUCGGAAUUAUUGGGCGUAAAGCGCACGUAGGCGGCUUUUCAAGUCGGAUGUGAAAUCCCUCGGCUUAACCAAGGAAGUGCAUCCGAAACUGGAAGGCUUGAGUACUUAAGAGGAUCGCGGAAUUCCCGGUGUAGAGGUGAAAUUCGUAGAGAUCGGGCGGAACACCAGCGGCGAAGGCGGCAUCCUGGCCCGUACCUGACGCUGAGGCGCGACAGCGUGGGGAGCAAACAGG